UACGUAGGGGGCAAGCGUUGUCCGGAUUCAUUGGGCGUAAAGAGCGUGUAGGCGGCCAGGUAGGUCGGUUUGUGAAAACUGGAGGCUCAACCUUCAGACGUCGACCGAAACCAUCUGGCUAGAGUCCGGGAGAGGAGAGUGGAAUUCCUGGUGUAGCGGUGAAAUGCGCAGAUAUCAGGAAGAACACCCGUGGCGAAAGCGGCUCUCUGGAACGGUACUGACGCUGAGACGCGAAAGCGUGGGGAGCGAACAGG
rnacentral:rRNA from 1 species